AAAAAAGGUAAGCUACUAAGAGCGAAUGGUGGAUGCCUUGACUGGUAAAGGCGAUGAAGGACGUACUAGACUGCGAUAAGCUACGGGGAGCUGUCAAGAAGCUUUGAUCCGUAGAUUUCCGAAUGGGGCAACCCAAUGUAUAGAGAUAUACAUUACCUAUAUAGGAGCGAACGAGGGGAAUUGAAACAUCUUAGUACCCUCAGGAAAAGAAAUCAAUAGAGAUUGCGUCAGUAGCGGCGAGCGAAAGCGUAAGAGGGCAAACCCAGUGCUUGCACUGGGGGUUGUAGGACUGCAAUGUGCAAGAGGUGAGUUUAGCAGAACAUUCUGGAAAGUAUAGCCAUAGAGGGUGAUAGUCCCGUAUGCGAAAAACAAACCUUAGCUAGCAGUAUCCUGAGUAGGGCGGGACACGAGAAAUCCUGUCUGAAGCUGGGUCGACCACGAUCCAACCCUAAAUACUAAUACCAGAUCGAUAGUGCACAAGUACCGUGAGGGAAAGGUGAAAAGAACUGAGGUGAUCAGAGUGAAAUAGAACCUGAAACCAUUUGCUUACAAUCAUUCAGAGCACUAUGUAGCAAUACAGUGUGAUGGACUGCCUUUUGCAUAAUGAGCCUGCGAGUUGUGGUGUCUGGCAAGGUUAAGCAAACGCGAAGCCGUAGCGAAAGCGAGUCUGAAUAGGGCGCUUAGUCAGAUGCUGCAGACCCGAAACGAAGUGAUCUAUCCAUGAGCAAGUUGAAGCUAGUGUAAGAACUAGUGGAGGACUGAACCCAUAGGCGUUGAAAAGCCCCGGGAUGACUUGUGGAUAGGGGUGAAAGGCCAAUCAAACUUCGUGAUAGCUGGUUCUCUCCGAAAUAUAUUUAGGUAUAGCGUUGUGUCGUAAUAUAAGGGGGUAGAGCACUGAAUGGGCUAGGGCAUACACCAAUGUACCAAACCCUAUCAAACUCCGAAUACCUUAUAUGUAAUCACAGCAGUCAGGCGGCGAGUGAUAAAAUCCGUCGUCAAGAGGGAAACAACCCAGACUACCAGCUAAGGUCCCUAAAUCUUACUUAAGUGGAAAACGAUGUGAAGUUACUUAAACAACCAGGAGGUUGGCUUAGAAGCAGCCAUCCUUUAAAGAAAGCGUAAUAGCUCACUGGUCUAGUGAUUUUGCGCGGAAAAUAUAACGGGGCUAAAGUAAGUACCGAAGCUGUAGACUUGAUUUUAUCAAGUGGUAGGAGAGCGUUCUAUUUGCGCCGAAGGUAUACCGGUAAGGAGUGCUGGAGCGAAUAGAAGUGAGCAUGCAGGCAUGAGUAGCGAUAAUUAAUGUGAGAAUCAUUAACGCCGUAAACCCAAGGUUUCCUACGCGAUGCUCGUCAUCGUAGGGUUAGUCGGGUCCUAAGUCGAGUCCGAAAGGGGUAGACGAUGGCAAAUUGGUUAAUAUUCCAAUACCAACAUUAGUGUGCGAUGGAAGGACGCUUAGGGCUAAGGGGGCUAGCGGAUGGAAGUGCUAGUCUAAGGUCGUAGGAGGUUAUACAGGCAAAUCCGUAUAACAUACUCCGAGAACUGAAAGGCUUUUUGAAGUCUUCGGAUGGAUAGAAGAACCCCUGAUGCCGUCGAGCCAAGAAAAGUUUCUAAGUUUAGCUAAUGUUGCCCGUACCGUAAACCGACACAGGUGGGUGGGAUGAGUAUUCUAAGGCGCGUGGAAGAACUCUCUUUAAGGAACUCUGCAAAAUAGCACCGUAUCUUCGGUAUAAGGUGUGGUUCGCUUCGUAUUAGGAUUUACUCCGAAAGCGAAGAAACUUACAACAAAGAGUCCCUCCCGACUGUUUACCAAAAACACAGCACUCUGCUAACUCGUAAGAGGAUGUAUAGGGUGUGACGCCUGCCCGGUGCUCGAAGGUUAAUUGAUGGGGUUAGCAUUAGCGAAGCUCUUGAUCGAAGCCCGAGUAAACGGCGGCCGUAACUAUAACGGUCCUAAGGUAGCGAAAUUCCUUGUCGGUUAAAUACCGACCUGCAUGAAUGGCGUAACGAGAUGGGAGCUGUCUCAAAGAGGGAUCCAGUGAAAUUGUAGUGGAGGUGAAAAUUCCUCCUACCCGCGGCAAGACGGAGAGACCCCGUGGACCUUUACUACAGCUUGACACUGCUAUUUGGAUAAGAAUGUGCAGGAUAGGUGGGAGGCUUUGAGUAUAUGACGCCAGUUGUAUAUGAGCCAUUGUUGAGAUACCACUCUUUCUUAUUUGGGUAGCUAACCAGCUUGAGUUAUCCUCAAGUGGGACAAUGUCUGGUGGGUAGUUUGACUGGGGCGGUCGCCUCCCAAAUAAUAACGGAGGCUUACAAAGGUUGGCUCAGAACGGUUGGAAAUCGUUCGUAGAGUAUAAAGGUAUAAGCCAGCUUAACUGCAAGACAUACAAGUCAAGCAGAGACGAAAGUCGGUCUUAGUGAUCCGGUGGUUCUGUGUGGAAGGGCCAUCGCUCAAAGGAUAAAAGGUACCCCGGGGAUAACAGGCUGAUCUCCCCCAAGAGCUCACAUCGACGGGGAGGUUUGGCACCUCGAUGUCGGCUCAUCGCAUCCUGGGGCUGGAGCAGGUCCCAAGGGUAUGGCUGUUCGCCAUUUAAAGCGGUACGCGAGCUGGGUUCAGAACGUCGUGAGACAGUUCGGUCCCUAUCUGCCGUGGGCGUAAGAAGAUUGAAGAGAUUUGACCCUAGUACGAGAGGACCGGGUUGAACAAACCACUGGUGUAGCUGUUGUUCUGCCAAGAGCAUCGCAGCGUAGCUAAGUUUGGAAAGGAUAAACGCUGAAAGCAUCUAAGCGUGAAGCCAACUCUAAGAUGAAUCUUCUCUAAGCUCUCUAGAAGACUACUAGUUUGAUAGGCUGGGUGUGUAAUGGAUGAAAGUCCUUUAGCUGACCAGUACUAAUAGAGCGUUUGGCUUAUCUUUAAUAAAGCAU
rnacentral:rRNA from 1 species